CAUAUACUUGAUAUAUUGCAGGAUGUGCAACAAGUAGAUGAGCCGAAAUCAAAACGUGCAAGGUCAAAUCAAAAGCAGAAUAAAGAGUUAAAGAGUGGACAACGGGUAAUGGCGUUGUUUAAAUACAGUGGUUGUGAGGAAGAAUGGUAUCCUGCUACAAUUGAAAGCAUUUUACAAACAAGUAAAACGUACAAAGUAAGGUUUGAAGAUGGAGUCCAGCGUUAUGUAAAAUACUCCAGUGUAAAGGAAGCUUCGGCGGACUGAUUCACUUCAUGUUUUUCGACUUGUUCUUUUAAGUUUAGACUACAAUAUAACAUGUUACAGAUAAUCAAGGAACUCUGAAUGUUAAACGUCUGAUUAUGCAUGCUUGAUAGGUCAGUUACACCGGAAUAGCACGAUAAACACUCGGUAAACUAAAUCAUUAUAC